rnacentral:lncRNA from 1 species
UACUAUGUUAAAUCUUAUUUUAUUGCCAUCAUCUUAGAGUACAAAGUCAUAUCUAUGUGGUCCGUGAAAUUACAAAAAGAAAAACAAAUUAUUAGGUGCCUAUAUACAUAAGUAUUUUAUUUCAGCAGGAGGCUCUUUGGUUUGAUACUCAUAGAAUCUAUGGCUUUCUUUUAUUAAUACAUGUACAAAUGCCAUUAAUACACCUUGGUCUAAUAGGAGGCGGGCACAUAUAUGCUGGGCAUUGAAAAUCUCGAUUACAUUGAAUAGUUGCUGUAAUAAAAAAAGAGAAACAAAUGGUUAAUAAAAUGUUGUGUAUGAAGUAAUUAAAAAAAUUUGUAAAAGAUAAAAAAUGGUCUACCAUCAACAUUCGUUGCAACAAGAAAUGCAUAAAGAGAUGUAAUCAUAACGUAAACAAAGUUAACAAUUUUAACCAUAUUUCCCUUCUUUUCAUGUACCAAGUAUAAUAUGAUUUUUUUUGUACUUAAGUAUAAUAUGAUUUUAUUCACUUUAUAAUGUAUAAAUUAAAGUGCAUGCUCUCCUUUAUUACAUCAAUUAAAUAGUGUUUUUUUUGUGAUACAUCAAUUAAAUAGUUUUCAGCACUUAUAAAAUUGUAAAAAAAACUCUUUACAAGAUUAGUAUCAUUAUUAAACGUCUCAUAAACACAUCAAAGUGUUAUGUUUGUCCUUUCAAUGCACUUAUUAUGGAGGUUGCAUUAAAAAAU